rnacentral:tRNA from 1 species
AUGAUGUUGGGUUUGUCUAAGCCAGAUUGACAAUUUAUUUUAAUUAACAUCAUA